rnacentral:rRNA from 1 species
UACGGGAGGCAGCAGUGGGGAAUAUUGCACAAUGGGCGAAAGCCUGAUGCAGCUAUGCCGCGUGUAUGAAGAAGGCCUUAGGGUUGUAAAGUACUUUCAUCGGGGAGGAAAAACAAAACUAAUAAUUUUAUUUCUUGACGUUACCCGAAAAAGAAGCACCGGCUAACUCCGUGCCAGCAGCCGCGGUAAUACGGAGGGUGCUAGCGUUAAUCAGAAUUACUGGGCGUAAAAGAGCACGUAGGUGGUUUUUUUAAAGUCAGAUGUGAAAUCCCUGGGCUUAACCUAGGAACUGCAUUUUGAAACUGAAAUACUAGAGCAUCGUAGAGGGAGGUAGAAUUCUAGGUGUAGCGGUGAAAUGCGUAGAUAUCUGGAGGAAUACCUGUGGCGAAAGCGGCCUCCUAAACGAAUACUGACACUGAGGUGCGAAAGCGUGGGGAGCAAAACAGGGAUUAGAUACC